rfam:Salmo salar isolate Sally breed double haploid chromosome ssa06, whole genome shotgun sequence.
UACAUUCACUACUGUAAGUUGCUCUGGAUAAGAGCGUCUGCUAAAGGACUAAAA